rnacentral:lncRNA from 1 species
UUAAGGAUUUCCAAUAUGACACUAUCUUCUUUCUUCUCCUAUAGUAUUUGCCUCAAAUAGUAUUCAAAAAGUAUUCUAUAAGUGUAUCUGGGUUUUUCGAACCAAAAAUUUCCAAACAAUAUCGUUCAGAACUUCGAUUAAAUUUUCUGACAUGUUGUUCAUGGUAAUAUUGUUGUUGAUUUUUUAUUUUUGUAUCCUU